rnacentral:rRNA from 1 species
GGCCUCUUCCUCCCCUGCGUCGGCGUGUGGCAGCAUGACCGGGUUGAGAUCAUCGCCAACGACCAGGGCAACCGUACCACGCCCUCCUACGUCGCCUUCACCGACACCGAGCGCCUCAUCGGCAACGCCGCCAAGAACCAGGUCGCCAUGAACCCCACCAACACCGUCUUCGGUACAUGCCACCCUCCCUCCCUCCCGACCCGCUGUGUAUCAUGCGUCGUCUGUUAG